CAUAUACUGUUCUAACUGACCUGACAAAACAGUAACGCUGCUAAAUUUCAUGAAAAACGAUGUGCCGCAUUUUCUCGUGAUCACACCGAUGCUCCGAAAGUAGGACGCAGUGAAACAAUAAUGCACUUAUGCGCGCCCCUUGUUCAUAUGCUUGUAAAUGUUGUUUAUGUAUGUAUACAUCGAUCACGAUCAAAACAGUGUUUAGAGAGGAGUGAAAUAUGCUAUGUAGUAUGGCAAUAGAUUCCAGCUUCGGCCGGACAUAUACAAGUGGUGCAAUUCAAUUAACUGACCUGGAAGGAUAACGGUCGCUCCUGCACCAAGUGAACCAGCGUAGGAUGUAGUUGCAGUCGGGAAUUUUAACGUGAUGGUGUUAUUUCUGGACAAACCAGGGCAAUUCGCCCAUUCCGGAAUGGUUUCCUUUUGCGACGGGUGCCGACGAUGUGAAAUGCAGUUGGCUCGAUUCUGCGAUGAUCUUGUUGGUGACUUCCCGGUCACAGAAUAAGCGGAAUGAAGUGUGAAAUAUCCUGAUUAUGUGCAAUGUAGCAAUAAAUGUCACAAGUGAAGGUAA